CAGUAAUGAAUGCCGUUGUUUCCCAAACUUGGGUCUCGGCUGUUUUUGGACUACAACUUCCAUCAUUCCUAGCUAGCAGGACCGGGGUUAAGUUUGGGAAACCCCUGGAUGAAUCAGAUGGGUUUAUGAGGUGUGGAAGUCUGCUUCCCUACCUAAUACGCCUUGAAGAAAGUUAAGCAGAUCAGCCCUGUGGUCCGAAUUGUUAAGAGAAAACAGAACAUCUGUGGAGAGUACACUCUCUGGUGACUUUUCCUCCAUCCCAUUCAAAGCUGCUGUAUUUCUCGGGCACAUAUGCCUCAAAGAAGCCACUGCAAUACUGAAAGGAACUGUGGACCAAAGACUCAAAUUAUAAAACCAACCCAGUUCACAACAGCCCAAAAGCUACUGAUGUUGCCUUGCCGGAGAAGGAAAGCCAUAAUUAUUUCUCCUGGAAAGCUGCCAUUGGAUACAAACUCGAGGAAAACAUCGUGUUUUAAUUUAUUUCUCGUCAAAUCUGGUGCAGCCAGCAAAUAGCCAAGACAUCUCUCCGGGCAUCAUAAUGUUCUACAUAUCUCUACCGUGUCUCUCCUCUUUCCACUCUGGUCAUCUUUUUGCAAGCAAACAAACAAAAGCUCCUGGCGACUAUUUCAACAUCCUGACCAAGUGUGAGAUGCUGAAGUUCCCAACCAUUAUUGUUCAAGCGGACGGCUCGUUCUGCACUCAAAAGAACAUGGCUGGCUCCUACCAUGCAAUUAACAGUAGCUGGCCAGUGACAUCUCUCCCAUCCUCUCCUCCCUACUGUGUUAGGGGGCCGACUAAGAGCCAAUGAGAAUCCAAAAAGAGCAUCACACUGCCUGGCUUGGUGCUCUCAGGAAGGCUUCCAGAAUACUUAUAUCUGCUGUGAGAGCCGCUAUGGUGGAAAACCUGGCCAAAAAUUGUAAGAAAUAUAGCCGCCAAAGGACAACAACAACAUCUGUGUUUUCAUCUAUCACUUUGAACACUUGUCUCAUUAUCCCAGACGCAAGAAAACUUUUACAAAAUGUCAGUUAAAUUUUUAUUACAUUACCCGGAGGCUUGUUUUGUGGUACAUAGUCUGAAGCUUUUGUCUAUUGCAUUUUAUUUAUUUAUUUGAUAAACUUUAUAUACUGCUUGAUUGUAAAAACAACAACAACAACCCAACAACAUCAAAUGGGGCUGAUAUCUCACCUUUCUUCCAAGGCUCUCCAGAUGGAGCCCACAGUCCCCCUGUUCCCCAUUUUAUCCUUCGAGCAACCCUGUGGGUUAGGUCAGGUCAAAAGAGGGUGACUGGCUAAAGUUCACCUAGUGAGGAGCAUUGCUGAUGGGAGUUUCAAACUGGUCUGCCCAGUCCCAGGCUGACAUUCUAACCACACGACAGCAGGCAUCACACUGGAAUGUGUAUUAUAUAUUGAAACAUGCUGCAUCCUUAAAAAUAUCAUUUCGCACACACAUUUGCCACGUGAACGAGGAGAGUGCAAUGAAGGGAAAUCUUUCAGGAGGAAGAACUGAAAUGAUAUGCAGCAUGAAGCGCUAUGGUCUCUGCAGGGAAAACUUUACAGCUUGAUCCUGCGUCAAUGCAUAAACUAACCCCAAGGGUUCAUAAGCACCAGUGCUGAACAACUUCAGUCCCAGGUACCAUUAGGAGCCAAUUUGUAGGAGCUGAGGUUCCUUUGCCGCCCCACCCAACAUAGUUGGGGGAGCUAGGUGCUCCAAAAGUUGGUGGGCAUUGCCAUUAAAAUGGUGUGUGUGUGUCACACCAUGUGAUUAUGUGGGGCAGGGCUUACCAGCCCCCCCCCAAUAUUUUAUUCAA